GUUUUAGUAGUUUAAAUAAAAACAUUAAUUUUGUAAAUUAAUAUUAAAAUAUAUUUCUAAAACU
rnacentral:tRNA from 1 species